UGGGAACAGCCAGGAUCCCCUCCGCACGGGAGAACAGCUCUAGACGCGCAGAGGGGCGGAGUCCAAACGGGUGCCAUCACCGACCUGUCUACAAGCAACAUUGUAACAUAUUUCUGAGCCCAUCACAUGGAUAAUGUGACCCUUCUCUUUUUGUCCUGCCCCAAGUGAAGAUUGUGACAUGUCACCAGGCCCUUUGUCUAGGCAAUAUGACUCUUCUCUCCUGUCUGGGCCCUGAUUACAAGGGGGAUUGUGACAAUCACUGGGCCCAUCAUGUAGAUAAUAAGAGUUUCUCUUCCUGCCUGGGCCUUUUCUACAGAAAAGAUUAAGACAUCACUGGGCCAAGCACCCACAUGAUGUCACUCGCCUGCCUGCAUUCUGCCUACAGUGGGUAUUGUGACAUAUCCCUGGCACAGAACCAAGGUAACGUGACUCACCUACCUGGUUCCUGCCCACUGAUGGGAUUGUGACAUAUACCUAGGUCCAGCUCACAGGCAUGAUGAUAACUGUCAUACGUGGACCCAGCCAAUAAGAGAUUUUUGCUCUUAGGCUUAUUACAACAGAGUCUCGCUCUGUCACUCAGGCUGGAGUGCAGUGGCAUGAUCUCAGCCCGCUGCAACCUUCGCCUUCCAGGUUCAAGCAGUUCUCCUGCCUCAGCUCUUGGACAAAACUUCAGCACUCCUGCUAGGGUGUGUCUGCCCUACUAAGACACUGUGCGCAGGUGGAGUUGAGGCUCUUAUGUAUGGAUCCUGUCCACUGUUGAGAUUGUGAAUUGCAUGUGUAGACUCAACUCACAGGAGGUGUUGACUCACAAACCUCCAGCUGGGACAUGUGCAGGAUUAGAAAUUUUAUUUCUGGAUCUUUCUUCAGAAGGCGUUGUAACAUCUCACUAAGCCCAGCACUCAGGCGAUGUGGCUUUCCUGCUAUGGCACUGCACACAAGAAGAAUGUUGACAUAUUCCUGGCCCAGAAUUCAGGUGGUUUGGUGACUCUCAAACCAUGAUUCAGCAGACCUGUGAGGCUGUGAGUUCCCUAUCAGAACACAAUCUGCAGGUUGUAUUGUGCCAUAUACCUGGGACCAAAUUACAAGCACAAUGAUGAAUCUUUUACCUGGAGUCAAGACAUGGGCAGGAUGAUGGAACUUAUCACUGGACCUUUCCACAGUGUUAUUGUGACAUAUGCCUUUGCCCAACAUGUGGUGAUUUGACUCCCCAGACUGGGUCCAGUUCACAAAUAAAAUUGUGCCGUAUACUUGGCCAAGAACCUAA
rnacentral:lncRNA from 1 species